AAAAAAAAAAAAUCGAACACGGACGCCCAAUACUGUUUCUUUUCUCUACUUUUAAAAAACGAGACGCUCCUUUAGUUUUUAGUUUUUUGGUGUAAGUUUUUUUUUAAAUUUAACCUAAAAAAAUACAAGAUAAUAAAAAAAUUUCAAAGAAAUAAAAAUAAGUUAUUAUAUGCAUAAUUGUAAAACACCACUAAAAUUUUAAGGAGAAAAAAAAGACGUGGUUUGUUCCCACUUUUGGUGGAGCAGUUUAUUCCACUUUAAAUAGAGCAGUUCAAAUUAAAUUUUAAGAAGAAAUAUGAUAUUCAGAUUCAUUCAACUUUAAAUGAAAUAGUUCAAGUUAAACUUCCUUCUAUUUUGUAAACCCACUUGCACAUGCAUUGGUAAAAGGCUAGUAAACAGUAAAACUACUGUAGAAAGUGAACAGUGCUGCACCCGGACGAAAAAUAGUAUAUUGUAUAAUAAUAAUGCUGCCUCAAAAUAACGACGGACGAUAUUGUCGUGAUUCAUGCUUAGACCAUAUCCUUGCCUGCCUAUCAAACAAUACAACAACAUAUUUCAAUCAUCACAAUCAUCAUAACAUGAGAAAAAACCAAUCCAAUUUGUUCACAAUAUAGAGAAUUACCGGUGGCGGAACCAAGAUGCGAUCUCCGGUUGGGCUAAAUUUAAGUCAUAUAUAUAUAGAUAUAUGUUUUUUUUAGUAAAAAUGCUUCCCAAAAUAUAAACGAUUUUUUAGGAGGAGAAAAAACAAUAAGAAGCUUUUAAAACAUACUAAUGAAGUAACGUGUAGAAGAAAAAGUGAGUAAAAGGAAGAAAAAUGAGUGAAAUAAGAGAAAAUUAGAAACAAAAUUUAAAAAUGGGGAGAAUAUAUAUUCUUUUUUAGUUAAAAAUGUUUCCCAAAAUAUAAACGAUUUUUUGGGAGGAGAAAAAACGAUAAGAAGCUUUUAAGACAUACUAAUGAAGUAACGUGUAGAAGAAAAAAGUGAGUAAAAGGAAGAAAAAAUGAGUGAAAUAAGAGAAAAUUAGAAGAAAAAUUUAAAAAUGGGGAGAAAAAAUUGAGAAAUAGUAAAGAAAGAGUCAAAUAAGGGUAAAAAAAAGGCAUGAACUGUCUUCACCGAGACUCGAACCAGUGGAGGGAAGAGUGUAACUCAUAUCAUUUUAGCCAACUGAACUACACUCAACUAUGUGUGAUGUAGAUUUCAAUUUUCAAAUGUUCACCUGGGCUAGAUCCGCCAGUGAGAAUUACAACAAUUAUAACUGGAGACUUGUACCUGAUUAGAGAUUUAUCGCUGGAGACCUCUGUGAGGUCCUUGCUGCCCAUAAAAAAGACGAUUGAGAGGUCAUAGAAACCGUCUGCUAGGUCCAUUUCAUCAUCAUAGUCCACUCCAUUAGUAGAAACAAAGCUAAUUAAGGACUUCUUCACCGAUUGUAAUCUUCUUGACAACAUACUCCUGUCCAUCUGAAGGUACAAGGAUAGUUGGCAAUCCUUCUACCGCACAAAACAUUUUAAGUUUUUGCCCUUUGCCAAGAACAAGUUUCUGAAGUCACUAACUCUCUCAUUAUCUCAAGUAAAACAUGCAUAUCAUCUAUUUUUCACAGAGGAUAGCAAGCAAAACUAGUUCUGAGUCCCUUAUUGUCUUUAAAUUCAAAGAUCAUGUUAUCUUAUUUUAAUAGGUCUUAGUUGUUUUCAAAUUGAUAAUUGACAACUGAGUUUUUAUAAGUGCCUUGGUGCUCAAACCAGUCUAGGGUGGAGAUCUUUUGUUGUGCCAACCCGUGACCAAAUAGUUUGAUACUCAAGUCUCCAGCUUGGAUUUUAUGAUAUAUUAUCCAAUAAUGAAUAGCUGGUCUGUGCUUGAUUCAAUGACCAGUCACUAUUUGUUGAGUCAUAGUCUUAUAAUGGACUGAAUAUAAGGUUCUACUACCUUAUUGCUUCUUGUUUUGAAUUAACCCUUGUUUUGGAAAGAUAGGUUUUGUCUCAUUGAGUCACUUGUGACGACUCCAUUGGGUUGUGUCACUUUCAAUUGCAGCAACCACACACUUUAGUCCAAAACCUUUUUCAAAACAGUUUGGGAAGUGUGUUUGCAUCUCUUGAGAUGUCUCACUUGCCUAUAUAUUCUUUUAGAUUAAGCUUUGCUCUUCGGUUGUUGAAAACUGCUAUAUUGCGUUUUCUUUGUUGAGUCUAGUUUUAGCUUGCAUUGUUCAUGAUGCUCUAAGUCUUCCUUAUGAUUGUAAACCUUAGAGCUUGAACGAAAAACUUCUUUCAUAAACUCAUAUCAUUGUUGCAUACCAUGAGGGAUGUGUAGUGCAAUCAACCCAAGAAGUGUUUAAGGUUGAAUUAGCUAUUGGGUAGCUGAAUUCAUGAACAAGACUUCUAAAAGUGUUUCAAGUUGUUGCUACUUAAAAACAAGAGAGGAAAUAGGUCUAGAUUAGUUUGGGACUAGGUAGGA
rnacentral:lncRNA from 1 species